GCCAAAUGUCCCCAUGAGUUCCCUUUAACGCUUCAUUGUUAAAUACUCAAAGCCACAUUGGUUUGUAUAUAACACUGAAGUGUUUGGGGGGACUCUUGGUGCCAUUUUGGC
rnacentral:pre_miRNA from 1 species